rnacentral:rRNA from 1 species
ACGGAAGGUCCAGGCGUUAUCCGGAUUUAUUGGGUUUAAAGGGAGCGUAGGCCGUUUGGUAAGCGUGUUGUGAAAUGUCGGGGCUCAACCUGGGCAUUGCAGCGCGAACUGCCAGACUUGAGUGCGCAGGAAGUAGGCGGAAUUCGUCGUGUAGCGGUGAAAUGCUUAGAUAUGACGAAGAACUCCGAUUGCGAAGGCAGCCUGCUGUAGCGCAACUGACGCUGAAGCUCGAAAGCGUGGGUAUCGAACAG